AGUGAACGCUGGCGGUAGGCCUAACACAUGCAAGUCGAACGGCAGCACAGUAAGAGCUUGCUCUUACGGGUGGCGAGUGGCGGACGGGUGAGGAAUACAUCGGAAUCUACUUUUUCGUGGGGGAUAACGUAGGGAAACUUACGCUAAUACCGCAUACGACCUACGGGUGAAAGCAGGGGAUCUUCGGACCUUGCGCGAUUGAAUGAGCCGAUGUCGGAUUAGCUAGUUGGCGGGGUAAAGGCCUACCAAGGCGACGAUCCGUAGCUGGUCUGAGAGGAGGAUCAGCGACACUGGAACUGAGACACGGUCCAGACUCCUACGGGAGGCAGCAGUGGGGAAUAUUGGACAAUGGGCGCAAGCCUGAUCCAGCCAUACCGCGUGUGUGAAGAAGGCCUUCGGGUUGUAAAGCCCUUUUGUUGGGAAAGAAAAGCAGCAGGUUAAUACCCCGCUGUUCUGACGGUACCCAAAGAAUAAGCACCGGCUAACUUCGUG
rnacentral:rRNA from 1 species